UGUAAAGGAUGGGGACAUAAGGGCUCAGAGUGUAAGUCAACAGGGGUAGCCAUUCGUAAAAGAGGUGUAGCGGCAGAGGAAGUAGAUGCAGCAAAAUCAUGUUUGGAAGUAGUUCAGUCAGGGUCUCCAGCGGAAAUAGAGCGAGGAGGAAAUGUAGUAACUGAUCUCUUAAGGGAGUUGGCAGCGCUUCCUACAGGAUCACACGCUCAGGGAGGAGAGCAGGUUUUGCAGUUGAAGGGUGUACGAAUGGAGGAUAAUCGGGAGAUCUCUCCAAGGCUACAAAUAUUUUGAGCCUAUCACUGAGAGUUUCAUUGUUUAUACUCUUUAUAUUAAUUUUGCGAUUAAGUUUACAAAAAUAUUAGUUUGUACAAAGCGAAGAUCAUGUUUAUUGCUAGCUUCUCACUAAAUAUCUAGCGAGUAACAAAUAAGAAAUUGACUUUAUUACAUGUUUAUUAGUAACAAAUAUCAAGGACACCAAAUAAUUAAAAUUUUAUUUUAAAACUGAGAAAGUUGCAAUAUAAAAAAAAAAUACAA
rnacentral:lncRNA from 1 species